rnacentral:rRNA from 1 species
AUAUUAUUUUAAAAAAUUAAUAUUAAAUAAGUAAUAGAUAAAAUCUAAAAAGUUAAGAAAUUUGGCGGUAAAUUAAUUUAUUUAGAGGAACUUGUUAUAUAAUUGAUAACACACAAUUUACCUUACCUUAAAUUUGUAUCAUUAGUUUAUAUACCGCCGUUAUAUAGUAAAUGAAUAUUCUUAUAGGAUAAAAAUUUUCUUAAAUUCAUUUUAUUUAAAAUCAGGUUAAGGUGUAAUUUAUAUUAAGGGUUUAAAUGAGUUACAAUUUAAUUUAAAAAUACAGAAAUAAUUAUUUAAAUAUAAUUAAUAAGGUGGAUUUAAAAGUAAAUUAUCAUUAGAAUGGUUAAUUUAAUAAAACUCUAAUUUA